CGCAAAUAAAUAAUAGAAAAUUACUUUUAAUGGCACGAAAAAUUGCUACUAUUAAAAAUACACGAUACACACACACACACAGCAAAGUAAAUCCCAGCUCCAGUUUAGAACAAGUUUUUUUUUCUUUCUAAAAUAGAAUAUAACUACCCUACAUCUUAAAAAGUCGUAAAAAUUACAAGAGUCGUAAAAAUUAAUUAGUUCAUAUCAGCCCUAGACAAAUACUAGAGAAACGAAACUUACGGCAUGCUUAAUUAUGAAACCUCAACUCAUGUACCCAAUUUUUAAAAACACAAAUCCUCCGAAUUGUAUUUUGCAUAGACUUUACUCGAUACAUUUUUUAGUGUACACCACCGUGAAAACAACAAGAAUCUACAGGUCGAGCAAGUCUCGUAAAUUUCACGAUUGCGAGCCACGCUUCACGCAACCGUGUUUGCGUACUUGUGUUUCAAGUUGCGUGGUCGUACGGAGUUAUAUUUACCAAAUUUAAAUAUAAUCGUUUUCAAAAUUAAAUCAAUAUGUCAAUAUCAUAGAUAAAUAAUAUAGUAUUACGGCUACUGGGUGUAAAAGAUAAAUCUUAUUCUAUCUGUUCUUAAUGAGUUUUAGAUAAUUUUAGUUGUAUUUCUUUGUAAUUUUGUGUUGUACAAAGAUUAAUUUAACAUUUUCUCUGGAAGUAUUAAUUUAGAAAGAUAAUAUGCUUCAUUGGUGUUGUGUUUUGAAGUGUGAAAUGUGAUAAGUCAAGAUAAAGUUCACUUUUAAACUGAACUAAAUAAGGUAUCUGAGAGACAACAAUGGUUAAAUGCAAUACAAUGUACAGGUUUUACUAGCGAAAUGAAAAUUUUCCUGUCCUGUCUGCUGUAAUCAUUUUAUAUCUGGAAAACCAGCCGACUUAAUAGAUAAUAACAAUCUCCAGAUUGGGUUCCUUCAAUAAAUAUGGUCUAUAAACACAAUGAAAUAAGUUCCCCAAAAUCUAAAAUGGAGUGGUAUCAAAGGAGAAUUAAAGGGAAAAAUAUUCAUAUUGAAAUUAUUUAUAAGGCACUGGACUGUCUUAAAUUCUACAAUAAUACUAG